CGGGACGGGUGAGUAAUGUCUGGGAAACUGCCUGAUGGAGGGGGGUAACUACUGGAAACGGUAGCUAAUACCGCAUAACGUCGCAAGACCAAAGAGGGGGACCUUCGGGCCUCUUGUCAUCGGAUGUGCCCAGAUGGGAUUAGCUAGUAGGUGGGGUAACGGCUCACCUAGGCGACGAUCCCUAGCUGGUCUGAGAGGAUGACCAGCCACACUGGAACUGAGACACGGUCCAG
rnacentral:rRNA from 1 species